GUGCAACCACAGGAGGGGGAAUGGACCUUGAGAGCUAAUCCCCAGAGUGACCAUGAGGAGCUGCCAGACAAACAGUACAUUUGAUUGUAAACCUUAUGGCCCAAAGCCUACAAACAAAGGGCGGCGACUGAGUUAGCUCUCUGCUGGCAUCUGCUGGGGAACAAGGGAGUCGACUGAGCAUUAUAGUGAACUGUGAGGACGCAAAAGGCGACUGUCUGUUUGGUGUGCGUG